rnacentral:rRNA from 1 species
AUACCGCAUACGAUCUAAGGAUGAAAGCGGGGGAUCGCAAGACCUCGCGCGACUGGAGCGGCCGAUAUCAGAUUAGGUAGUUGGUAGGGUAAAGGCCUACCAAGCCAACGAUCUGUAGCUGGUCUGAGAGGACGACCAGCCACACUGGAACUGAGACACGGCCCAGACUCCUACGGGAGGCAGCAGUGGGGAAUUUUGGACAAUGGGGGCAACCCUGAUCCAGCAAUGCCGCGUGAGUGAAGAAGGCCUUCGGGUUGUAAAGCUCUUUUGUCAGGGAAGAAACAGCAGCUCUAACUCUUACUGCGAAUGACGGUACCUGAAGAAUAAGCACCGGCUAACUACGUGCCAGCAGCCGCGGUAAUACGUAGGGUGCGAGCGUUAAUCGGAAUUACUGGGCGUAAAGCGUGCGCAGGCGGUUAUACAAGACAGGCGUGAAAUCCCCGGGCUUAACCUGGGAAUGGCGUCUGUGACUGUAUAGCUAGAGUGUGUCAGAGGGGGGUGGAAUUCCACGUGUAGCAGUGAAAUGCGUAGAUAUGUGGAGGAACACCAAUGGCGAAGGCAGCCCCCUGGGAUAACACUGACGCUCAUGCACGAAGCGUGGGGA